GCGCGGGUGGCGAAAUUGGUAGACGCGUUAGUCUUAGGAACUAAUAGGGUAACCUGUGGAGGUUCAAGUCCUCUCCCGCGCA
rfam:Parcubacteria bacterium GW2011_GWF2_44_8 TW75_C0018, whole genome shotgun sequence.